GUGGGGAAUUUUGGACAAUGGGCGAAAGCCUGAUCCAGCAAUGCCGCGUGCAGGAUGAAGGCCCUCGGGUUGUAAACUGCUUUUGUACGGAACGAAAAGCUCUGGGCUAAUACCCCGGAGUCAUGACGGUACCGUAAGAAUAAGCACCGGCUAACUACGUGCCAGCAGCCGCGGUAAUACGUAGGGUGCGAGCGUUAAUCGGAAUUACUGGGCGUAAAGCGUGCGCAGGCGGUGCUGUAAGACAGGCGUGAAAUCCCCGGGCUCAACCUGGGAAUUGCGCUUGUGACUGCAGUGCUGGAGUGCGGCAGAGGGGGAUGGAAUUCCGCGUGUAGCAGUGAAAUGCGUAGAUAUGCGGAGGAACACCGAUGGCGAAGGCAAUCCCCUGGGCCUGCACUGACGCUCAUGCACGAAAGCGUGGGGAGCAAACAGGAUUAGAUACCCGGGUAGUCC
rnacentral:rRNA from 1 species